GAUGAACGCUGGCGGCGUGCAUAAUACAUGCAAGUCGAGCGAACGGACGAGAAGCUUGCUUCUCUGAUGUUAGCGGCGGACGGGUGAGUAACACGUGGAUAACCUACCUAUAAGACUGGGAUAACUUCGGGAAACCGGAGCUAAUACCGGAUAAUAUUUUGAACCGCAUGGUUCAAAAGUGAAAGACGGUCUUGCUGUCACUUAUAGAUGGAUCCGCGCUGCAUUAGCUAGUUGGUAAGGUAACGGCUUACCAAGGCAACGAUGCAUAGCCGACCUGAGAGGGUGAUCGGCCACACUGGAACUGAGACACGGUCCAGACUCCUACGGGAGGCAGCAGUAGGGAAUCUUCCGCAAUGGGCGAAAGCCUGACGGAGCAACGCCGCGUGAGUGAUGAAGGUCUUCGGAUCGUAAAACUCUGUUAUUAGGGAAGAACAUAUGUGUAAGUAACUGUGCACAUCUUGACGGUACCUAAUCAGAAAGCCACGGCUAACUACGUG
rnacentral:rRNA from 1 species